GUUAAUAGCUGUGAUAAAAUUGCUGACUGUUGUUUUGAGAGUUGAAGUUCAAUCUUUACAACAUGUAACUGAAAAGCAUUCAAUUUUCAAAUGAAAUAAAACAUUCGCCGCAUGCUUAUGACUUUUUGAUACAAUCACUGGGGCUUACUCAUUUUGUUCUCAAUAUAUAUAUAAAUAUCUAAUAAGGGCCCCCAGAUAGCACGACUACGUUGGGCCAACAUUGGUAAAUGGUUGUAUGGUGGGCGUGGGGUAGGUGGGCCAACAUUACCAUGCCACUCGUCUCAACCAUAUAUUGGGAUUUCUACGUUGGCCCAAAGCUGGUCCAACGUAAAUCAACUCCUAGUUGCUUUAUUUUCCCAAGGAUGUUGGGAUUCUGAAGUUGGCCCAAUGUGCAUGGUCCAGCGUUUGAAAUACAUCCUGAACAAAAUAAUUUAAUUAAGCUGGUAAUAGUACGUUGGCUCGGUGUUAGCAAGAGUUCUUUUAUAUAUUAAGUGUUUCAAGUUGGAGUGAUUACAUUAGCCCAACAGUUGUACUGCGAACUAAAUGAUGGUGUCCAACACGCUGGGGAGCAUUACGUUGGACCAACGUUGGUUCCACGUUUGUAAACUUUGGCGCUAUGGUUGUGUUGCAAGCAUAUUUGAUUGCAUAACAUUAAAGAACGCUGAAUUUAAGAGGCAGAUUCGGAUAUAGUUAGAGGACAUGCAAUUGGAUGACUGCAUCCAUUUAUAUUUGUUUUUAAGAACUAAAGAAUGUGACCAACGCAUAAAAAAGUUUUUGUUUUUGUUUUGGUGUUAUAUUCUUUGAAGUGGGUUCAUGAUUAUUUAUUUAGUUUUAAAAUCCAAGCUCAAAAUUUUAAUCCAAUUUCACAUGUAUAACAUUUCAUGAGUGUUGCAUUAGAAAAUUCAAUAAAAGAUUUCUUAUAACAGUAUAAGUUCCCUGGGACAGGGUGUGAAUAGAUUACCUGACCCGUUUUAUAAUUACAUUGAAACAAAGGUCAGGCGAGUUGCUAAAACUGGGGAAUCGUGGCGAUUAAAUUAUCAAACUGUGGAAUGAGCCGUCAAAUUCAAUUACUCACAGGUGGUUGAUAAACUCAAUAUGCAGAGCAAGUAAGAAGUAGGAGUUUAAAAUUUUGGAUUAUUCAACUGUUACAUGCAGCUGCUUCUUAAAACAAAUGCAAGUAUGAAUAUUGUUAUAAUCAUCUUUAAUAUAUUUCAAAUUUAGUGUGUAAUUUGUUCCCAUUCUUAUCAUGUUUAUGGUCAAUGUCACUUGAAGUUAAUGUAAAUAUAAGUAACUCCGAUCCCCUCCCAAUGCUAGGGGCCUGUAUUAUUUUGUUGUUGCUCUACUGUUUUCAAUUCAAUACUGUACAAUACAUUGUUUUGUACAUUUGUAAUAAAAACUGUACUAUACAUUUAUUAUUUUGUACAUGUAUCUAAAGGUUGUUUCAGCUAACUAUAAUAUAAAUAUACCUUUGUGAUUUAAAGCUUGGAAAACUUAUAUGCAUUGGAGGCGACAAUGUUCAAACAUGUGUUCAGAGAUUACUGUCAUUUUUGAUUACGACAGCCUUAGCAAUGCAUUUAAAUUGGAGUGGGAAAGGAACAAAAAGAGGGCUGUCAUAUCUAGAAUUGAGACAUUAUAAAGGAUGUCAGCAUAAAAAAAAUAUGUAGUGGUGUAACUGACAGUGAAAUCGAAAAACUUAUUAAGGACUGGCUGAGGUGCGCCAAAGAUCUAGGUGGGGAGGCGACAAAGGGAGAGAAAAAAGAAAGAGCGGAAAGGCAACAAAAGGACAGUGGGAAAGUGAGCCAGGAUUAAAACAAAUUCGUCAUUAUUUUCCAGAAAUGUCCACCAUCAUCUAUUUUAAACUCAUUUUGUAUGUUUUGACAAUCUAAUUCAUAUAAAAUAUCAUUUUACUGGGAA